ACACGCACACCUUAGAGCCCAGUCACGAAAUGGAAAAGUAAACAGCCCCACCCUCGAGGUCUGAACAGGGGACUGGGGUGCACAGAGAGGGGCCCCUCCCCUGACCAGCUGUCAGGAGAACUGUUCACACAUUCUGAUUCCUCCAAGGUUGAGGGCUAAGGUGUAGGAAGAGGAGAGAGGUUCCAAGCAGAAGGAAUUGCAGGAGCAAAGGCACAGAGGCACCCCAUCCUGCGAGCAGCUAUGGCCGGAGCCGCGUGUCGCGGGAUGGAGAGGGUGUGAACAGAGGGGACUGGAAGCGGAUCCUCCCAGGAAGCAGUUGCAGGCGUUCAUGCUGCAUUUGCAGGGAGGCAGGAGAUUGUGAAGAACAAUAAUCAGAAGAGAGUUUGUGUGUUCAUCAAAAAACAGGUAGAGUUGGCGCUAGCUUCUCCAUCCAUCCCUGACACCCCAGCCCCAUUCAUCAUUAAGCAGAAGACAGGCUGGGUUGGCCCAACUUGGUCCUGUACCCCCACCACCCCAGAACCCCGCUGGUCCAUAGUGAGGAUCCCUUCUCCUUGACCCUCCUCCUUCCCUGUGACUCGCCUAAGCCUGAUCCUACACCUCCUAUCCCAGCCACUGCCUCAGCCUCCUCCACCCCCAGCUUGGGAUGAGCCACCUCCCUGGCUGGGUAGCAUGGGAUGAGCCAUCUCCCUGCAGAGGCAGAGAACCAGUGACACUACACACAAACCAAGGCCAUGCUGCAAACAGAACAGCAAGGCACCUCCUCUUAGGAUGCAUUAUAUUCAGGGUAGAUGUUGAAUUCUAGUAACACAUUCCCUGGGGUGUUUUCAAAUCCAAACACACUGGAGCCUUGUUCCAGCCUCCCUGUGGGCGAAGGCCCCCGGGCUCACCUCCAGCCUCAGGCUGGCUCUGACUGCUGCCCUGGUUCCAUCCUGGCAAGCGGAACUGAACAGGCCCGACUCCACAGCCCCCAGCGCUGCCGGCUGCAAGCUCUGCUGACUCCAGCCUCAGGCCCCUGCUUACCUGCUUCUAAAUCCACAUGCUCCUGCUCCUUCCCGCCCCUGCUGGCCUUUCAGAAUGCCACUUCUUUCUGCCAAGCUCAGCCAUUGCUACGGCCCAGCCCCAUCUUUAUUGAUUUCGGGGCUCUGUCCCCUUGCAGAGCCCGUCUCAUUGCCACCCACAUCUGGGACAGCAAAAGACUCCUCAAUUUCCUCCAAGAGUUCAGUUUCUUCCAAAAAGCUUGGCACAUCUUAGCUGCCAGUGUGAACUGUGAGCUCCCAGAGAUGCCCGUGGCACUUUCCAACAUUCGUCACUUUUGACACAUCUAAAAUAUCCUAGCUCCCAGAGCUGCAUGAGCACCAGCCCAGAUGGACUGGCUGCUGGGGAAGCAUCGGUCUCUCCAGGGCUUCUGAGAAGCCUUGGGGCAGGAGGGGGAUGUCUGACAAAGCUUCCUAACUAAGGAGCCCCACUUCCUCUCGCUUUGGGCACCCCUGCCAAAUGAGCGGGCACCUCCAUGUUCCAGCAGCCCUUGCUGCCCGGCUUCCAAGCUCCAAGCCAACUUCCUUCCACAGAAUUCUCUGCACCUUGGUUCCCGGUGGCUCCAAGUACUUUGCCAUCUGCCGAGUCAGUUCUGCCAGAGAGGAAGCAGCCGAUGUGGGGAGUUCUCUGUGGGAGCCACCUUUCCUCUCUCAGGUCACCUUUACUCUCAGAAGGAAAAUGACCCCCUGACCUAUUAAAUAGCUGAAAUCAA